CUGUCGCUAUAGUGUAUUCUUAUCAUGUGGUAACAAAUUGCACUUAAUGCUUUUAUCCUUUUAAUAUCUAAAUACACGUGCAAGUAGAAAGAGCAUCCUCUGCUACAAGCCUACAUGCUCAUUGCAUGAGGGUUGCUGAUUUACCAAAUGUCGGGUCGAAGAAGCAGCUGGUAUCCCUGUCUUGUUUUGUUUGAACAAGAAAGUUAAGAGAGCCAGCAGCUUCAACAUUUUGAAGACAUCAGUGGCAGGUUUUCAGGACUACCAUUAGCUUGUAUGGAAUAGUGUAGAUAGUUUUUCUUGGAAUGGUUGUUGAGUUCUUUUGCAAUUAUGUGCUUGCUUUUCAUCUGCACGAGAGAAGAAAACAUGCACUCCGGUCGGGAACUGUAUCAUUACUUGUUUUGAGUAGAUUAGGUAUAGUUUCUGCAACUUUGAUCAAUGAGUAGGAAAAUUGCUGUAGGAAUUUGCAUUUGGGAAUCACUCUAUGGAUCUGAGACUCGGCAUAUAAGGAUUCAGGCCUUAAAGGUAAUAAUGUUGAUUGCUGCACAUACCUGCGCAGUAUUUUCCUCUUUUUCUUUCUUCUUUGUGUUAUCAAACUUCUACAUUCAUCGACGCCUUGCUCAGUUGCUCUCUUUGCGCUCAUCCGUUAAGAAUUCAGAGAAUAGCGUAAGCAUUUACCGCUAGCUGUUCAGCAGUCGGACUCGAGUCAAAACGACCAGCUUUAUUCUAUUCUAGGACACACGAGACUGGUAUCCAGUUAUCUGUCGGAUAGGAUGUUCUCAAGUACCACCCAAAGGCCGGUUCUCAAACAUAUAAUACCUUCUCUCGGCCAAGUUGCUAGAAGUUGCUUUCUUGGCAUCAAACUUUCUCAGAGUAAAUCGGAAAGACGAGUGACCCUUAGAAUAGAUUGUAGUAAUAUUUACUUAUUAUUCUGUAAAACGGAUGCACGUACGCAAGAAAAUUCCAUGAACACUCCUCCUGCCUGGAUGAAGAACUUGGUCACGCUUUGACAUAAGACCAUUUAUUGUCUGAUCUAUUUCCAGAAAAAAAAAAAAAAAAGUGCUUAUCUUCAACAAAGGGAAAAAAAAAAUGUCAUAUUGACUAUUGACUCGUGAGCUCCAUUGCUGCGGCAAAAUCUGUUUUCCAGAGGUACGUAUGAACAAGACUUUCUUGAUUGCAACUGCAACUAGGGAAGGAAUGGACAGAACAGAUGAGAGUAAAAUGUGCAAAGAAAGAAGUGACUCCAGCUCCUGGAAGACCAACAGGUAGAAAGCCCGCUUUCUCAGGCUCAAAGCUUCUAGACCUUGUGUACGAAGGUAAGAUUUUUGGCCUACAAAGAUCAAAGUACAAUAAUAAUAAUAUCAUAACCACAAUGAGAUUUAUUAAUAGCUAAUUUAACGUGGUCCUAAUUCUGAAAACUGUGACCGGAGCAGUUUACCUGCAUAAAAGCGCUGGAGUGUAGAACUUAAAAUGAGCGGAAGUGGAAUCGGACUUAAAAAGAGUAACCAAAAUUUUCAACCGCAGUAUUCUCUCUAUUGAAGAUUGAAGAGAGAAUCGGUAAGAGAUGCAGCAGAAGACUAGAAAGUUGAGUCGCGGUGUGGAAACACUGGGACGCGUGGAAGAAGACCACAUAUGCAUUGGGCGUGGGAAGUGUUACAAUUCUAGUCUAGGAGCACCAAGCCAAUGGAUUGUUAUUUCAUUCUUGAUUAUUUGACUCCACCAAGGUGAGACAAUUGGUUGCUAACAUAACAUUUGGUCCAAUUAUUACAUUAAGGAUUUAAUUUCUGCACAGUCCUUGAUAUUUACAGACCAUUUUAGCUUCUUUUUUUUUUUUUUUCCAUAUGACUAUGAGUGAUUUUAGUUACACCAUUUUUUAAAAUCUUCUUUCUGUGGAUAGCAGCAUCCAGCACCUCCGGUAAGCAGGAAUUAUCCCUUGUCAUCACCCUGUGUAUUCAGUCUCUGAAUCCAGCUGUAUUCACUCUGUGGAGAUGGAUUCUUCCAGCAUCAUCUCCUUGUGUUAGUCAAAUAAUCUUACUUCUCGUGAACUUUUGUCUAUUAUUCUUGACUGCAGGGAGCUGUUGACUACGUUCCAGCAGAUAUGUUUCUACCAUAACUAUCGCGAAGCAAACAAAUGUGCAGACAUCCUAGCAAAUUGGGAAAGAAGCAGCAGCACUCAAGACUUCACUUUUUUUGAAUUAUGUUCUAAUUUUAUCAUUUCCUUACUUUUGCAAGAAGAUACUUUUGCAAGAAGACUUAAAAGGGUGUUACCACUCCCACGGAUGACUGUACUUUAACUUCCGCUGUGCAGACUUGACUUUUACUUUAAUGCAUCUUUAUUUACCAAAAAAAAAAAAUCUUUGGUAGCUGCGACUUGCGAGCCAGCGAACCGGUGGGGAGAGCAUAAAAUGAUCACGAGGCCACAACAAUGAACAAAGGGGUUGGACAAGUCCAACCAUUUCUCCCCGGCUCUUGGAUGGAUAAACCGUUUGGGCCAAAUCUGUGCACAGAAGAAUUGGGUCCUCGGAAAGGGCGUCAGUAAAGAUGGGACUACUGAGCCAGUUGACAGCUACCUCUCGUGGGCCCAAAUGAUUUCCAACUUCUGUGCCAACAUGCAAGUGCAAGUGACGUCUCUCACUAAGACUGCAAACGAACUCGUGAGCGGCUCUAGUUAAGUUGGAGUCAAGCUCAAAAUAUUAAACUCGUUAAUUCUCGAGCUGACUCGCGAGUUCGAAUAUAUAUAUAUAUAUAUAUAUAUAUAUAUAUAUAUAAUAUUUUUUUUAUUUUAAGUAUAUAUAUAUUUUUUAUUUUAAGUAUAUAUAUAUUUUUUAUUUUCUUAUUUUAAUAGUAAAAUUACAUAUAUAUCCUUAAUAUUUUAUUAUUUAUAAAAAAAAUUAUUUUAUUUAUUUUUUAAAAAAUUAAAUAAUUAUUUUUAUCUUUUUUCAAGCUCGAGCUUUUAAUUGCCAGCUUGUCAAGUUCGAGUUUGAGUUUGAACUUGGUAAAAUUUAGUCGAGACUCGCCCCAAUUAAUUCAAAACACUCGAUUCGACUCAGUUCGUUUGUAACCCUACUCUCAACCUCCUUUAUUUAUUUAUUUUUUUUUUUUAAAAAGGCGCCGACAGAGUGGGAGAGCAUCCUGGUGGUAUUUUUCAGAUUCGGAUCCUUUCGCAGUUGCGCUUGUACUAGCAGAGCAGUUGAUUUAAAAUUUUAUUGGGAUUUUAAAUCAUCGAUCAAGAUCCAAUUCAAGCUCGGAACGGAAAAAAACAACGCUUCAACAACUGUGGAUCCUUAUACGUGCGUCCUGAAUGAGCGCUACAACCAAAUUGAUUUAUGCGUUUCAAAUAUAUAUAUUUUUUGGCACAGGAACAGAGAGAAAAUUCAGAAAUGUUGGGUGGUCAUUAGUUUUUUUUUUUAUUUUUAGCUGGAAUAAGUUUGGAAUGCGUGUUUGGUAAGUAGAAUGUAGGAAGAAACAUGCAAUCGUUGUUGAAACUUGAAAGAUGAUUGAUUCCAUUCCAUCCCAUGCACAGGUUUUGUGACUGGGGAAGUUCUCCAGGCUUUGCAUAAAAUGCGGUAACGAGUCCUGGGACGAUACAGAUUGAAUUGUGAGAAGGAGCAAUUGCCAAAGAGGCAUGUUUGUCGUGCGAGUUGGAACUGCCCUUUCUUUUUCCCUGGAAUAAUUCUAAUUUGUACAAAGGGAAUUCAAAGGUUUCGUACUGUCCACUCCAGGACAGAACACAUCCUAUCCUAUCCUAGUAGUAAGUAACCUCGCUUUUACCCUUUUUUUUGAAUCUCAUCUUUUGCUGCAUCCAGAUUCCAGAGCACAUAACUUCUUGUCACCAUUAAAGGUAGCCUACCGUAUCGUAGUAAUAGAACCUUUUUUUGUCAUAAUUGCUUAUCUCAACAAUAAACAUGAUGGUAUUAAAAAUCUCACAUUCUCUCCUUAUAUUUGUGUUAGGUAUGUUACGACUGUGUGUGUUUGGAAAGUGAUUCAAACCCUUAUAACCUGUGGUGGGUCUUUUAGGGCAUUCAUUUAAAAUUUUGACCAAAUUUAAAGUUUGGUUACCAAAAGUGCUAAAUUAGGUGCAAUUUUAAAAAUUCAAGGCCAGAAAUCUCAGGGAGGCUUAUGAAAUUAUCCCACAGUUUCUUUUUCCUGGAUGCUAUCAAGCAAAUAGUCACAGAGUCAUUGAUUCGUGGCACAAAGUCAGCGGCGGCGGUGGGCUUUUCGAGUUCAGAGCUAAGAUCCUAGGCCUUGCAUAGAAACAAAAUCAGCUGCUCAACAACGACACUUUUUAUCAACGAACUACACCACUCAUUAGGCUUGUUUUAUGUGUUAUGUUCAUGGCCGCAUGUCAGGGGCAGGCGACAAAAUAAAUAUCUCCGAAUGGAUCCACUCCAUCCAAUUAUCCUCCUCUGUUAUGCGAUGAGCCGGCUUGACCCGCAGCAGUUCCUUGACCAACUCCGGGCCUAAUAGAAGCAAGCCCGAGCCAGGCCCAUUUUUGUCCUAUCCAUCAUGCUCACGUGCGCUAGUAAUAAAUAACUGAGCUGUUCUCAAAUCCCCGGUACUUCUCAUCAGAUUCUGUUAACUCUGAUAGCCAGCUAUAGCAGGCUAAGUAACCAAGCAGAUUUUCGUUUUGUACAUAGAUAGUCUCGAGACUCUCAACUCCAAUACGAGAAGUUUGUGCAUUUCAGUAGUCGUCCUUCAAGAAAAAGAGAGCGAUGGAAGAGGCACUGCUGCCAUAUGAAAAUGUUGAGGACACGAGAUCAAGAAAGGCGGAAACGUGCAAGCCUUAUGUGGAAGAACUGAAGAGGGUCAACAGCAUAGCACUUCCGAUGAUAGUAGCAACAGUCGCACAAUAUCUCUUGCGAGUUUCACCGAUCUUUAUGUUGGGCCAUCUUGGGGAACUCCAACUCUCUGGUGUCUCCAUUGCCACAUCCUUUUCCAAUGUUACUGGCUUCAGUGUUCUUGUAAGUUCUUUCGUAUUCCUCAAAAUUUUCACCUGAUAAAUGCUGCUGAAGAUUUUAAUCAAUCAGAUAACUCAUCUUAAUUAUCAUAUGCUAUUAGAUAUUCUAUGACAAAGCAAGCGUAUGAAUGCAAAUUGUCUUGUACUAGAAGCGUAGUAGUCAAUCUAGAAUCACUUUUGAACGUAGUUAGCAUAAUAUGCUGCAAAGAUGUUUGUACAAGUACAAAUAUGUAUGCAUUCUUCUCAUGUCAACUGACUUCUUAUUUCACUCGAAUAUCCUUGUAUCAUGAGCCAUGACUCAUCCCUGUUGAUAUUUUAAGUUUUGCUUUUUGGGGAAAGAAUCAUCAAUACUUGUGCUGCUCUCAAUCACGCCAAUUGCAAAUAUGGCUUCUCUCUGAAUUUUGAUGCCUGAUGUAGCAAGUCAAUUAUAUAUGUCAAACAACUUCAUGUCAACUAAAAGAUUAAGGCUGAAAAAAAAAAAAACUGUUAAGAACUGUGAUAAUAUUGGACAAGUAGUGUCCAGAACAUACUUGAUUAAGUACUGAUACAAUUAACUAUCACGCAGUUUGGGAUGUCAAGUGCACUGGAGACCUUGUGCGGGCAGGCUUUUGGAGCAGAACAAUAUCAAAGACUAGGAGCUUAUACAUAUGGGGCCAUCAUGGGUCUCUUUAUGGUUUGUAUACCAAUAUCCUUGUUGUGGAUCUUCACAGACAAGCUAUUAAUACUCACUGGCCAAGAUCCUGCAAUUGCAACCGAGGCUGGCCUAUACUUGAUUUGGCUCAUUCCUACACUAUUCCCUUAUGUUAUUCUCCAGUCACUUGUUCGCUUCCUUCAGACUCAGAGUUUAAUCUUUCCAAUGCUGUAUAGUACAGUUGCAUCUCUAUGCUUACAGGUGCCCCUUUGUUGGGCUUUAGUAUUCAAGUUCAAUCUGGGGAAUACUGGAGCAGCUUUGUCCAUUGGUAUAUCAUAUUGGUUGAAUGUGAUCUUGCUUGGGCUGUAUGUGAAGUAUUCUCCUUCCUGUAAAGACUCCCGUCUUCCUUUCUCUAUGGAUGCUCUUCAAACAAUGGGGGAAUUCCUCCGUUUUGCCAUCCCUUCUGCUGUAAUGGUUUGGUAUAUUUAUCUUUUAACCUCUCCAAUUGGCUAGGCAUAUUAGUCGUUCCUCUGGUUCUGUAAUACUCUAUCUACUAACCUUCUUGAUCACUUUAGCUUACUAUUGUUUGCAAAAUGAUGGUAGUCUGGAAUGGUGGGCAUUUGAGUUAAUCAUAUUGCUGUCUGGCCUGUCACCAAAUCCUCAGCUGGAGACCUCUGUGCUAUCUAUCUGGUUAGCCUUUUUUUUUUUUUGGACCUUUUACUUCUCUGAUGGAAUCUAAUAAGUUAAUGUAACUGAUUCAAAAUUUCCUUUGGAACAGCUUUACUAUUGCUUCAUUGCACUACCACAUACCCUACUCUUUUGGAACUGCUGCAAGGUUUGCUCCCUACUCUUAUGCAAUGAAUGCAUUGAUACAUAGACUACAUCUCUUAGCCUAAUAAUCCAGAAAUAAUCUUAUGAGCUCAUGCAAGUAAGGUUUCCGCUGAAAGACAACCUUUGUUAUCUUAUAGUACUCGGGUAUCAAAUGAACUUGGAGCAGGGAAUCCACAGGCAGCACGAGUAGCUCUUUGCAUGGUGCUAUUAGUAUCUGUAUCAGAGUUUCUUGUGGCAAGCACUACUCUCUUCCUCUGCCGUACUAUACUUGGAUAUGCCUUCAGUGACGAGAAAGAAGUUAUUAGCUAUGUCAAGGACAUGACUCCUCUUUUAUGCAUCUCCAUCAUGAUGGAUAGCACACAGGGCGUGUUAUCAGGUAUCCUACUAUCUUGGGUUACUACUUUCUCAAUAUGUUGACUGACAUGAAAACUGGGAUAACAUCAGAAAGAGUUACAUCAAAUCUUAAAUUAACUAUUAGAGCAACUUUGCAAUUUGAGUUAAACAAACACUACAAUAAUUUUGUGUAAAAUUCGUAUCUUCGUGAUAUGAUUUCGAAAAUGAAAGAGAGCUGACUUCCAUGUUAGUCCUACUCCUUGUCUUUGUUGAGUGUAAUUUGAGAUCACAAACUGAAGACAUCAUAAUGGCUGUCAUUAAGGUAUAUGGAGGAUUUUGUUUCACAUUGGUUAAGAUUUAAGCAUAACAAUUAGAUGUGAAGAAAGGAUGCAAAAAUUGUGAAAAUACUGGAAAGAUGUGACGAAAUUAGCAAUUGCCAUAUCGUAAAAGCAAUUGCAGUUCUGUCAAGUGUCAACUGAUAAAUUUGUUUAUCCUUGUCCAUUUUCUCCUGACUUGAGAACUGCGUUUGGAUGACAUAAACACAAAAUCCACCAUUUUAGAACUUCGAUAAAAAAACUUGUGACAUCAUAUAGCACUGGACGUGUUUAUUUCCUACCAUCUUCUGACUUGAUGCAAUCCUUUUGCAUUCAGGGGUAGCAAGAGGAAGUGGAUGGCAGCACUUGGGAGCUUAUGUAAAUCUAGGGGCAUAUUAUCUGGUUGGAGUACCGACGGCUUUAAUACUGGGAUUUGCAUUGCAUUUAAGAGGAAUGGGUCUUUGGGGUGGACUGCUCUCUGGAGCUACGGUGCAAACUCUUUCCUUGUCUGCUAUAACAAGCCUAACAAACUGGGAAAAGCAGGUUGGUGAACGCAAAGUCUAUUGAAUUACCAAACUUUCCCCCAGAUUUUUAUCCUUCCGCUAAAUCCAACUUAAUUCACUAGUAAAAUAAAAUAAUGCUGAAUCAUGUUGGGAAAAAAUCAGUUAGUUGCCUGACUCUUACACCUGUGGAUACAUGACAGUCAAUGGAAGCCAGGCGCAGAAUAUUUGAAGCGCAAAAAGAAGAACCCGCUUCAGUAUGAGUAAAUUCGAGAAAAACACCAGCAUUUUUGUGUUUCCGACAUUCUAGUUCCAUCAAGAACAUCAGGCGGGGCUCCUAUUGCUGCGCGCAGUAAGAUUCUUGAACGUCUGUUUCGCGUCAAAUAGGAUUGCUACCUGUGCUAAAGACGAAAGAUGAUAAUUUUUUGUUCUCCAUUGCACAGAGAGGAGCUGAUGGUUUUCUUUUAAAUAACCGCUUGACUUUGCAAUAAUAUCGAACUUAUGAACAUCCACAGCGUGCCUAAUCACUUUUCCCUGAAAUAAUUUUGAGGUGGGAAAAUGGACAAUGUCGGCUUAAAAUUGAAGGGCGCAUGCCACCGUUUUUUUUUUAUCUGCUUCUGCUGCAAUGGAAUAUAACUCAUCACAUGGUAAGCGCAUGUCGAGAUAGAGAGCUUCAUUGCAUGAGGUGUAUUGGAUGCUAUACGACCAAAUUAUUCUUUUCCCAAAAAUUGCUGUAAGAUUUGAAUCCUACGGUCGGAAAAGGAAGAGGAGUUGGGUUGCAAAUAAUAAGAUUUUGAAUCCACCCACCAUUUGCGACUACGUUAAAUCCGCCUGAGAUGAUUUGGAAAAGGAAAAUGAGUUGACUUGCAUAAAUAUGGCAGUAUCGUAUGAUUACCAGAAAACAGCCUCUCCUGGGUAGUUCGGUUAGUCACGUAUCCUCCUCGGGAAGUAUUGUCCAUAUCUCCCAUCAGGAUUAACGUGUUCGAGAGAAUGGGGUCUCUCCUUUCGGGUUGCAGGAAAAUUAGUCGGGCCGAAAGUCCGGAUGCCCCUGCAUCUGAAAAAAUAUAUAUAUAUAAUUACCUGAAAACAUAACAACAGCUGCCACAGUGUACUAUAAUAUCAAUAGAUACACCUGUUUUAUAAGGGAAGAAGUUUGCAACUUCAUAUAUGGGGAGCUAAUUUAUGGGACUUAAUGAUUGUGUAUGAAGCAAUGAAACCGUGUCAGCUGGUAAAAUGCUAAACUCCUAAGAAGGAUAACAAGUGCCUAUUUUUCCAAGCCAUUUUGAAUAUCCCCCCUGCCAGUCAAAUCAGAGAUCAAAAUUUUCCAGUUUUAAUUAACCAUCCAUUUCAAUAUAACGUCAAUUGAAGGAGCCAAACAGAAAAAAUUAACGCCACAUAUGUUUGUCCUUUGCAUGUUAUGGUCUUCUAUACUCUGCACCGCCAAAAAAAAAAAAAAAAAGAAUCUGUAAAAGGUAUUCUGGGCUUUUUGCGGCUUCAGACGGAUGAAAAUUGAAGGAGCAAUCUUUUGUAAAUUCGUGGGAUAUUUGUAUUAGUCCUAGUGCUAACAUUUUUCUCCAACUGACUGUCAUUUCUAUUUGUUUCGAUAGAAUGAAAACUUGGUUAAAGUAAUGCUAUGGAAUCUCUUUCCUUAAACGGUACUCUAUGAUGUUAAUGAUUUGUUUGUUCCCAACUUUGUGUGUUCCCUCCCCUUGAAUAUUCUAAGGGCAGCUCCAAUGGGGGUGUAAUGGGCACCCCUCCAUGACACGGCUCCCCAUUGGAGCCGUGUCAUGGGGAUUACACGCAUCACAUGUAUGAUGCGUGUAAUCCAUUGAAUUUUCUUCCUAUGGCAACGGUAAAAUUUCAGCGAGGGGCAGAUUUAACAUUUCCAACGGCACUAUUAUUUCCAACGGCACUAUUUUUAGAAUUCUAUAUAAAUACACAACACUUUUUACUAAAACAUAUCCCAAUAUUCUACUCUAUUAUUUCUUUUAUUCUCUCACACACUUCUACUCUCUCACUCAUUUAAUUCAUUUUUUGUGAUUAUGGAUGAAAAUUGGAGUAGUUUUACAAAUAUGUUAAAUGCUCCAAAUAUAGAAAAUUCAUCAUCCUCACAAAAUCAAAACCCCCAAAAUUUUCCAAAUUACCCAUUUCUGGUAUUCCUACAAAUGUGCAAAAUUACGUAGCAGCAUUUGAAGUAUCAAAUAUUUGUUUAAUUUCCUACAUAAUUAUUUUUAAAAAAAUAACAAUAUAUUAUUUUUGAAACAUAGAAAAAGAUAUAUUAUUCAAACUUAAAAAUUAAUAAUAUCAUUUUUAGAAAAUAAAAAAAUUCAAAAUGUACAAAAUUUAACGAAAGUUAGUACUUUAUUUUUUAAAAAUAACAAAAUUAGUUUUAAAAAUUACUUUAUUUAUUUAUGGGAUAUGAGUUAUGCAUUAUUAAAAUAAAUAUUUGAUUAAUUGUGGACCCAUGCUAUUACACCUUGUGGAGUGUAAUCCAUUGUGAGUGAAAGUGUAAUAAAAGAGGAGAAAAUGGAAUGCUGACGUGGCAUGUGGAUUACACUCCACAAAGUGUAAUAGCAUUGUGGAUGCUCUAAUUAAGAACCUCGAGUAUCGGAUCUCACAUCUCAAUUUUCAACUGAUCAAGAAGAAUUCGAAAUUUGUCGUCUCUUGCUCAAGAACACUUCAAUUUGCCUUAGAGUAAAACCAAUGAUGGAUGUGAUUGUGGAAAGAAACAAUUGGAUAGAGCCCAGAAGAAGCACAUUGCUAAAUUGCCAUACUUGAGGAUUAACCCUGAAGCAAUAAAAAAAAAAGAAAAAAGUUUUUGUUUAUUAUUUUAUAAAAACCAUAUCUUUGCUUCUAUAAAUAGUUUUGAAUCAAUAAUUAUUUUAAAUCUUAAAAAUGAAUAUUAAAAAUUAGAUAAAUUGAAAGAAAAAUAAAAAAAGCAAUUAUUUUAAAUCCUCAAGUAUGGUUCGAAUUCCAUUGCAGCAGAAGAAUUAAAAUAAUUUCUUCUUUUUUUAUUUUUCUUUCAAUUUAUCUAAUUUUUAAUAUUCAUUUUUAAGAUUUAAAAUAAUUAUUGAUUCAAAACUAUUUAUGGAAGCAAAGAUAUGGUUUUUAUAAAAUAAUAAGUAAAAACUUUUUUCUAUUUUUUUGGAUUGUUUCAGGGUUAAUAAAAUAAAAAUAUAUUCUUUUUUUAAUGCAACAUGGCCUCAAUAAGGGCAUUUUCGGCAUUAAGGGGGUUUUUGUUAAAUGUUUGAUCAUUCAAAGGGUGAGACCGUUAUUUGGACAAAUUACAGGGAUUGAUUGGUAAUAUGAUCAAACCUUAGGGGAGGUAAAUGUAAUUAACCCAAAAAAAAUGCAGGAGGGAGAUAUUAUACUUUUCUUUUGAUUCUUAUUUGCAGAUCAAGUGACUGGCUGGAAUUAAAGUGUUUCUCAUGGAAUAUUUGGUUUUUCCUUGUUUCACCCCAUUUUUUCCUCCUUAUUCAAAACUUUCAGAAAUAAGUCAAGGUUGGUCCACCCAUUUGCUUACGGAACUCAUGUGACUAGGAGAACUUUUACAACAGAAACAAGUGUAUCUAAAGCUAUUUGAAUUGGAAAACUACAAGUUGUCUGAAAUUUGUCUGAUUGAGUUGUUAUUUGUUCUUAAAACAGGCUAUUCAUUAUAGUCAGACUGACUUGUAUGAUCCCUAUCAUAUAUGGGCAGAGUCGUUGGUACAAGGCAUCUGCUUUAAUAACUGUUGUCUGGUUUGGAGCUUUUAUGACAAGUGAUUUCAGAAAGAAUGCUCUCUUGUUUGCAUAUAGAACUUGUUUUAGUGAAUCUGUAACUGAGAACAGGAUAAUAAAACUUUGAUCUUCCACGAGUAAGGCUUAAAAUAGAUAAGAUAUAUUAUCUUUGGCUGUAUGACCAAUUUUGUAUUUUGCUUUGUAUGGUUUCUAGUAGAUGAAUUGCAUCACAGUUCAUACUUUUCAUGCCAGAAUUAUGCUGCAAUUUGCCAUCUCCGUAAAUUGUGGUGCAGAAGCCUGAUCUUAUUGUUCCUUUGUUUUAUAAAUUUUUUGAUAAUAGCACUCAAUCAAAAAAAUUCCCAUUUUCUUCAUUCCUGAUAACUCGUUGAAAGAAGCAACAUUUAAGGCCUAUGCUUUCCUACUAUUUUUUUUUACUAGCGAUCCUUAUGAAAUCAUGAUUCAGCAUUUCUCUUUGUUUUAGUGUCCUUGCACCAAUUCUAAGGUUUUUAAUUGAUUUAAAUGCCCUGCACUUUUAUCUUGCAGACCUUGGUUAGAUAUCAGUUACCUGUAGUCGUUAUAGUUUUCAAUAAUGGUGGUGUUUACGGCGGUGAUCGAAGGAGUCCUGAAGAAAUCACCGGGCCUCACAAAGAUGACCCAGCACCCGCGUCUUUUGUUCCCGGAGCAGGUUAUCAUGUUCUAACGGAAGCUUUUGGGGGGAAAGGUUAUCUCGUUCAGACGCCUGAUGAACUCAGGUCUGCACUUGCUGAAUCUUUUUCAGCACGGAAACCUGCGGUGUUAAAUGUCAUUCUUGAUCCAUAUGCUGGUUCAGAGAGUGGAAGGUUGCAGCACAAAAACUGAGGUAUAACCAGAAUGCAUGACCCAAUAAGCAGUACCUAAAUUCUUAUUUGAUAAAGCAUAUGGAUGUUUGUUUUGUUCUUUUACAUGAACUUUCCAAAGCGAUCUGCUCCAGUGUUUUCUGCGACUCAAAUGAGGAAAGUUAGUGCUAUUGCUCUAGUGUAUUCUUAUCAUGUAGUAACAAAUUGCACUUAAUGUUUUUAUGCUUUCAAUAUCUAAAUACACGUGCAAGUAGAAAGAGGAGCAGCAGCCUCUGCUACAAGCCUACAUACUCAUUGCAUGAGGGUUGCUGAUUUACCAAAUGUCGGGUCGAAGAAGCAGCUGGUAUCCCUGUCUUGUUUUGUUUGAACAAGAAAGUUAGAGAGAGCUAGCAGCUUCAACAUUUUGAAGACAUCAGUGGCAGGUUUUCAGGACUAUCAUUAGCUUGUAUGGAAUACUGUAGAUAGUUUUUCUUGGAAUGUUUGUUGAGUUCUUUUGCAAUUAUGUGCUUUCUUUUCAUCUGAUCUGCACGAGAGAAGA
rnacentral:lncRNA from 1 species